rnacentral:rRNA from 1 species
CCUACGGGAGGCAGCAGUGAGGAAUAUUCGUCAAUGGACGCAAGUCUGAACCAGCCAUGCCGCGUGCAUGAUGACGGCUCUAUGAUUUUUAAACUGCUUUUGUACGAGAGUACACCCCGAUACGUGUAUCAGGUUGACAUUAUCGUACGAAUACGGAUCGGCUAACUCCGUUCCAGCAGCCGAGGUGAUACGGAGGAUCCGAGCGUUAUCCGGAUUUAUUGGGUUUAACGGGUGCGGAGGCGGUUUGAUAACUUAGAGGUGAAAUGUCGGGGCUCAACCCCGAAACUGCCUCUAAUACUGUUGGACUAGAGAAUAGUUGCGGUAGGCGGAAUGUAUGGUGUAGCGGUGAAAUGCUUAGAGAUCAUACAGAACACCGAUUGCGAAGGCAGCUCCCCAAACUAUAUCUGACGUUGAGGCACGAAAGCGUGGGUAGCAAACAGGAUUAGAUACCCUGGUAGUC